rnacentral:rRNA from 1 species
AACGAACGCUGGCGGCAUGCCUAACACAUGCAAGUCGAACGAGACCUUCGGGUCUAGUGGCGCACGUGUGCGUAACGCGUGGGAACCUGCCUUUAGGUUCGGAAUAACUCAGAGAAAUUUGAGCUAAUACCGGAUGAUGUCUUCGGACCAAAGAUUUAUCGCCUUUAGAUGGGCCCGCGUUGGAUUAGCUAGUUGGUGGGGUAAAGGCCUACCAAGGCGACGAUCCAUAGCUGGUCUGAGAGGAUGAUCAGCCACACUGGGACUGAGACACGGCCCAGACCCCUACGGGAAGCAGCAGUGGGGAAUAUUGGACAAGGGGCGAAAGCCUGAUCCAGCAAUGCCGCGUGAGUGAUGAAGGCCUUAGGGUUGUAAAGCUCUUUUACCCGAGAUGAUAAUGACAGUAUCGGGAGAAUAAGCUCCGGCUAACUCCGUG